rnacentral:rRNA from 1 species
UACGAAGGGGGCUAGCGUUGCUCGGAAUCACUGGGCGUAAAGCGUGCGUAGGUGGUUUGUUAAGUCUGUUGUGAAAGCCCCGGGCUUAACCUGGGAAUGGCCGUCGAAACUGGCGAACUGGAGUGUGGCAGAGGGGGGGUGGAAUUCCGCGUGUAGCAGUGAAAUGCGUAGAGAUGCGGAGGAACACCGAUGGCGAAGGCAGCCCCCCUGGGCUGACACUGACGCUCAGGCACGAAAGCGUGGGGAGCAAACAGG